rnacentral:lncRNA from 1 species
GAGGGUGAGAGUUCUGCCGUACGUCUUUUGGUAAGACUACGAAAAUUAGUUUAUGUUGUUUGUGUUAUAUUUUUAUUUUAUAUUUUACAGUAUAUUGACUAUUUUAUUUUUAUUUUGUAGACUGAUUCUAUGUCGGGUCUUGUAUUGGACGCUCGUCGUAUUUUAUCUAUGACUGAUGAGGACGAACGGAUUCGGAUACUACGUGAGAUAGAGAGAACAAG